UAGAAACAAACGUAUACAGUCACAUUUUAAAAUUCUGUAGUCUUAUUAUAUAUAUAUUUUUUUUCUUUAAAUGGAUAACAAACUGUCGAAAAUUCUGUUUCGGCAUGUCUAUUGGACAGUUAGAGAAUACCAAGCCGGGCCAAACCAUUUGGUUAAUAAGAUUACCAUUUAUGAAAUGGUCAUAAAGAAGAUGCGGCGCAACAAACAUAACGAAAAUCUAAGGGCUCUAAUAGAUGCAGCCUUAAAAGAGUUAAAAGAGUGUGGUAUUGUGGCCUUUGUGGAGCCGGACCUCUUUGGCAUCUAUAAAGAAAUACCCCCCAAUUCGGCAAUGUUUAGAUCAUAGGCUGCGUCGGGAGCUGCGGGGCUAGGAGUAGCAACUGUUGCGAAAAAAAAAAAACA
rnacentral:sRNA from 1 species